GCUGGGCGCUGUGGUGCACGCCUUUAGUCCCAGCUACUCGGGAGGCUGAGACAGGAGGAUCGCUUGAGUCCAGGAGUUCUGGGCUGUAGUGCGCUAUGCCGAUCGGGUGUCCGCACUAAGUUCGGCAUCAAUAUGGUGACCUCCCGGGAGCGGGGGACCACCAGGUUGCCUAAGGAGGAGUGAACCGGCCCAGGUCGGAAACGGAGCAGGUCAAAACUCCCGUGCUGAUCAAUAGUGGGAUCGCGCCUGUGAAUAGCCACUGCACUCCAGCCUGGGCAACAUAGCGAGACCCUGUCUCUU
ensembl:misc_RNA Metazoa_SRP Metazoan signal recognition particle RNA